rnacentral:rRNA from 1 species
CAGUAGCCGCGGGAAUACGGAGGGAGCUAGCGUUGUUCGGAAUUACUGGGCGUAAAGCGUGCGUAGGCGGCUUCUUAAGUCGGAUGUGAAAUCACUGAGCUUAACUUAGGAAUUGCAUUCGAUACUGGGAAGCUAGAGUAUGGGAGAGGAUGGUAGAAUUCCAGGUGUAGCGGUGAAAUGCGUAGAGAUCUGGAGGAAUACCGAUGGCGAAGGCAGCCAUCUGGCCUAAUACUGACGCUGAGGUACGAAAGCAUGGGGAGCAAACAGGAUUAGAGACCCGUGUAGUCCCUGUCUCUUAUAA